AUUGAACGCUGGCGGCAGGCUUAACACAUGCAAGUCGAGCGGAGUGAUGGUGCUUGCACUAUCACUUAGCGGCGGACGGGUGAGUAAUGCUUAGGAAUCUGCCUAUUAGUGGGGGACAACAUCUCGAAAGGGAUGCUAAUACCGCAUACGUCCUACGGGAGAAAGCAGGGGAUCUCUUGUGACCUUGCGCUAAUAGAUGAGCCUAAGUCGGAUUAGCUAGUUGGUGGGGUAAAGGCCUACCAAGGCGACGAUCUGUAGCGGGUCUGAGAGGAUGAUCCGCCACACUGGGACUGAGACACGGCCCAGACUCCUACGGGAGGCAGCAGUGGGGAACAUUGGACAAUGGGGGGAACCCUGAUCCAGCCAUGCAGCGUGUGUGAAGAAGGCCUUAUGGUUGUAAAGCACUUUAAGCGAGGAGGAGGCUCUUUUGGUUAAUACCCAAGAUGAGUGGACGUUACUCGCAGAAUAAGCACCGGCUAACUCUGUGCCAGCCGCCGCGGUAA
rnacentral:rRNA from 1 species